rnacentral:rRNA from 1 species
AACGUAGGACGCAAGCGUUAUCCGGAGUUACUGGGCGUAAAGCGCGUGCAGGCGGGUUUGUAAGUCGGUUAUGAAAGCUCCUGGCUAAACUGGGAGAGGUUGACCGAGACUGCAAGUCUAGAGUGAGACAGAGGAACACGGAAUUCCGGGUGUAGUGGUGAAAUGCGUAGAUAUCCGGAGGAACACCAGUGGCGAAGGCGGUGUUCUGGGUCUCAACUGACGCUGAGGCGCGAAAGCGUGGGGAGCGAACGGG